UUCCGGAGCUAACGCGUUAAGUCGACCGCCUGGGGAGUACGGCCGCAAGGUUAAAACUCAAAUGAAUUGACGGGGGCCCGCACAAGCCNUGGAGCAUGUGGUUUAAUUCGAUGCAACGCGAAGAACCUUACCUACUCUUGACAUCCAGAGAACUUAGCAGAGAUGCUUUGGUGCCUUCGGGAACUCUGAGACAGGUGCUGCAUGGCUGUCGUCAGCUCGUGUUGUGAAAUGUUGGGUUAAGUCCCGCAACGAGCGCAACCCUUAUCCUUUGUUGCCAGCGGUNNGGCCGGGAACUCAAAGGAGACUGCCAGUGAUAAACUGGAGGAAGGUGGGGAUGACGUCAAGUCAUCAUGGCCCUUACGAGUAGGGCUACACACGUGCUACAAUGGCGCAUACAAAGAGAAGCGACCUCGCGAGAGCAAGCGGACCUCAUAAAGUGCGUCGUAGUCCGGAUUGGAGUCUGCAACUCGACUCCAUGAAGUCGGAAUCGCUAGUAAUCGUAGAUCAGAAUGCUACGGUGAAUACGUUCCCGGGCCUUGUACACACCGCCCGUCACACCAUGGGAGUGGGUUGCAAAAGAAGUAGGUAGCUUAACCUUCGGGAGGGCGCUUACCACUUUGUGAUUCAUGACUGGGGUGAA
rnacentral:rRNA from 1 species